UGCAUCGGCCGGGAAUCGAACCCGGGCCGUCCGAGUGGCAGACGAUAAUUCUACCACUGAACCACCGAUGC